rnacentral:lncRNA from 1 species
UCAUCAACAAAAGACACAUGAAAAAAAAAAAAAAAAACUCUUGGAAGAAGCCCAUCAAUGAUUUGAGGCCCUACUUAUAGCCAUCGUCGUUGCCACCACUAGUUUAGUGUUGUCUAAGCUUGGAUGCCAAAAUUGUAGGUUAAUCAAGAUUAAAGAAAAUAGACGACAGUGACCCCUUGUACACUGGCGUUAGAGGUGGCGGUGAUAGAGAUGGUAAUGGCUUGUAAAAUGUGAGUGGCGAUGACGAUG